UGUUUUCCUAUCUUUCAAUUAAGCAGCCUGUCUAGGAAUUAGUUGAAUUCCUAACUAUGUGUCGAAAGUUGGGCGCACAUUUGGGUAUGACAUAAGGUCCAUAAUAUUGCCUGAGGUUAUCUUGUAAUUGUUUUGAAAUAGAUUUCUAUGAAUCGAUGUUGGACUAGACUAUAUCUUGACCAAUGAUGAGAAGUUGGUAAUCAGUAGAGAGCGGCCUUCCUGCACGCAGCGCAUCGACGGCCGUGCUGCGCGAUGUGAUGUGUGCAAAAGAAAACGUGAAAAUAACUAAAGCUGACAUACAUUGCUGGAUACAAGCAAAUACACCGCACACAUCGCCUCCGGUGGGCUUGCCUGGUACAGGUUUUGACUUUUGACGUACGCAGGGUCGGUCCGCUCAGAGCGUGCAGAGGGUACAUUAUUAAUUUUGACAGGCGGGCCCUGGCUUGGUGGCGUGUAACCAGGUUGGGGCAAAGACCACGGGAUCCCUUUUCACAUCUGGGGCAAAGACCACGCCAAGCCGGAGGCAGUGGUGGCGCCCGUGGUUCGUCAGGCUCUGCUCAUGGCGACUGGUGCAGAAUCUGGAUCGAUGUCGGCGGUCAACGAUCCAGGAGCACGCUUGGGGGCGUCCAUUUCGGGCGGUGGCGGCGCCGCGGCGGCCGAAUUCGGUCGUGCGAGCGUUCUCUCUUGAUAUGCGCCAGCCGGAUCAGGGCGGUGCCGUCGUUGGGCGACAUGUUAGUAAAAAUCUGUGGCUCUGUUCUUGCCGGUUGACCGCGCUGGUCUAUGCUAUCCUCCUUCCUCCAUGGUCCUGUCGCCUUUUGCGAACCAAUUUUUGCAGAUUGGCCCGCACGGCGAGCGCUCCAGAUGUGGUCGGGGGUGCACACGCGGGGUGCGGCGUCGAGCCGCCGGUCCCCGAAGCACAUGUGUUGGGGGGCACACCGGCGUCAGAUGUGGAGUCAUCGGGGGUGUGCACGACAUUGAGCUCUGGCGGCGGCGCUUAGCCAUCGGCGGACAUAGGGGUUGGCACACAUUCGUCGGGCGUGCAGGCGGCAGCUCACUGGGCGCCGCGGCUACCUGCAGCGGUGGUGUCGCUGGGCGCAAGAAAACUAGUUACUUGGGUCUGUAUCUCCGAUUUUAGUCAUCUGUCUUGUGUCUUUGUAUCCCUAUUUGAUCCUGAAGGUCUGUAUUUGCACUGGUUUAUUUGCUUUCGAUUGGGAUUCGAAAGACUUAUGUUCUGGUUCAUUAAUAAAAGCCAUUUGUUUUCUA